UACGUAGGGGACUAGCGUUGUCCGGAUUUACUGGGCGUAAAGAGCGCGCAGGCGGUCGUUCAAGUCGAGUGUGAAAGCCCCCGGCUCAACUGGGGAGGGUCAUUCGAUACUGAUCGACUGGAAGGCAGGAGAGGGAAGCGGAAUUCCCGGUGUAGUGGUGAAAUGCGUAGAUAUCGGGAGGAACACCAGUGGCGAAGGCGGCUUCCUGGCCUGUUCUUGACGCUGAGGCGCGAAAGCUAGGGGAGCAAACGGG
rnacentral:rRNA from 1 species